rnacentral:pre_miRNA from 1 species
AAGUGGAGGUGUGAUCUCUUCACUUUUUCAAUUUAAAGUGAGAUUCAACUCCUCCAACUUAA